UUUUUUUUCUUCUGGCACGGUCCAACAGACACUCCUGGCACUUGGCUUCCCGGGGGCUGCUCGCCCCCGGCCCAGAGGCCGGUUUCCAGCGGCAGGCCUUAUUCCACCAUCUUUGCAGCUUCCAAUUCUUUUCAUGUUAAGUUGUUUUUUGGAGAGAUAUAUAAAUUUAUUUUGAGUCCAUUCUAAGUUGUUCUGUCAGUGAAACUCUGUUUAAAACAUGGCUUGUAUGAAGUUGUCAGGAAUCGGCUCUGACACUUGGAUGAUUCUUCAGCUGGCUAUAAAAUUCUAAAAUCAGAGUAACCGUGUAUUGACUUCCAACAUUCCACAUUUCCAAAGGUGUUUCCUGUGAUCUCUGGGAUCCUGAUCCGCACCACUCAACUUUGGCCUCCUAAACUUCAUCCUUGACCCCACCCCAGGUAGGAAGGAUGUGUGGAUAUUUCUUUUAUCUUUCUGCAACGAUGACCUUUUGGAGAAAAAGAAAGGAAGCAGGACCUCUUGACCAGAAUUUAUCCAGCACUCCAGCACGGCUUGCACGUUAUCUGGAGUAAAGAGACCUUCUGGGAUUUCAUCAGCCUCCUGUCCAUCAAGAGUUCUUCCAGUUUUUGACUGACUGAAUUUUCAGUGAACUGUGUGUCUAACUGAAGCUUUGAGAGAGAGAGAGAGAGAAAGAAGGAAAAAAAGAAAAGGUUUUACUUCACUUGAACUUGUUAAAAAGGAAGAGACACAGAUCCAGCAUAGUAGAAGGAGAAAGAAAGCAGACAACAGUUUGGAAUGGAGGCAUUGAGACGGAAGAGUCCAUUGGAGAUGGAAUGUACACACAAAAAUAACAAUUUAGGUCCUUUGCUCAUGCAACAUCUUGUUCUAAUGUCCUCUGCUCCAGGUCACAACAUUGAGCUACAAAGUGUGUGCAGUGACUCCAGUCUGCAUUCAUGCUACAAGAUGAUCCGUUUAGUAAGACUGAGCAAGGCUUGUUAACCUCUUGGACGUGAGAGAUUUCCCCUGAGAAAAUAUAUAAAACAAGAGAAAAGAAAGAAAAUCAAGUACGAUCACUGAAAACCUGCUUAGUAGUAGCAACUAUUUACUGUAGCUGAUUUUUGUGCAAGGUCAACACUGAACCCUUUAAGUCCAUCUUAGUUCAAACCUCAUGACCAACCUGCCUUCCCCCCUCCCUCCCUCCACUGACACGUCAAACAAAACUAUCCUCCCUCCCUCCACCCUCCUACCCCUCCCAAAUCCUUCCUCCCCACUGCAAACAGACUGAUGGUUUCACAGCACAGAUUAGCAAAUCAUAAAACAUAUCCAUAAAUGCUCCAUCAAGGCUUAGCAAUGAAGCAACACCUAGGUUCCCAACUGAUUAUAAACAUGUUACAACAAAUCUUAGUAAGCUGCUCUGAAAGAUAAUGUGAGUGCAUUCUUGUUCAAUGGCUGAAAUUAAUGUCACAUUUAUAAAUAUCUAGAAAUGUAGAGGAUACGAUUUAAUUAAAUAAAAUGCAGUUUUUGAGGGUG
ensembl:lncRNA novel transcript, antisense to RGS7